CACAGCACAGCGGGAGCUGUUCUCCAUGGGAUGUACCCGGGGAGCAGAGGCAGGGGCGGCAUGGGGGUCAUGAGGGGAUCCCUGGGGCAGAAGGCCACAUGUCUGCACCUCUGCAUGUGCUCUGCAGCGCUGAUGCUGGUCAGACGUGCCCACCGCUGCCUCCGGCACAGCUCUGCUAGUGGCUGCCCCGCUGCUCUGCCCCUGCCCAGGUUCCGGGCAAUCCCCCUGUGUGGCGUGGGGGUCAUGGAGCAGCCUGGGCAGUGGGGGAGAUGCAAAGCCCUGUCCCACUGAUGCAGCAGAGCCCCAAACCUGACUGCUCACAGCCUUUUUUCUGCUCUUUUCCCAGCGGCAUCUGCGACUCCCCAGCAGCUGCUGGCCCGGCUCCUGGUGCUGUCAGCAUCCCCCUUCGAGGGAGAAGGGUGCGGAGUGGCUGCGCUGCUCCUGCUGAACGCCCUGCGCCCUGAGAUGUAUGGGGACGAGGCUGAGCAGUGGUGGAUGGAGAUUCCAGCCAUGGUCCAGUAUCUUGAUGGACAUAGCACGUUCUCUCUGGACCAGACCACGUGGGAGCACAAGCUGUUGGAGUUCCUCCGAAAGACCUUGGGGAGGAGCAAAGAGGGCAGCUGGAGCCAGGAUCUGAGCCAGGAGCUGGGCCGGUAGAUGGGCAGCUAUGCCAACGCCUCUGUGGAGAAGGCUUUCCUCUACAAGGCUCUGGGCACAGCCCUGGCCAUGAGCAAAGAUGUGGCUUCAGUGACAGAACAGCUCCGGAAGCUGCUGCGCAUGGCCGACUAUCUGAAUGGUGCAGAGACGGAGUGCCUUAGCUCCUGCCUGCAGCUCUGUGCCAGGGACCAGCUGGAUGCCACCCUGAGAGCUCUGGGCGACUUUGAGGAGGAAAUUGGCGGAGGGGGAGGAUUCCUGGCAUCUCAGGAAGGCCCUGACCCCACGGGACAGGGACAGAGUGAAGAGCGCCCUCCUGCUGUUCUACAGCAGUGCAGCAGCCCAGGCGCUCCCCCAGCAGCUGCUCCCUCAGCUGGCGGACAAGAUCGUACCCAAAAUCCUGCACCAUUACAGCACCGGCUCCCAGGAGAGGGGCAGUGUGCGCUCCGCUGCCAUUUUACUGCUUGGCAACGUGGUGAGCAGCGUGAAGGACCCGGAUAAACCCAUCGUGCAGCAGGAAAUGAUCCACUGCUUGCUCCUGCUGCUGCUGGAUCUUGAAGACCAGGAUGAAAGUGUGACACUGAGAUGCAAACUGAUGCUCUUCCGUUGCGCAGUGUUUCUCAGGUGGGCUCAAUUGAAGACGCUGUUCCGCAGCAUGGCCUGGGAUGGCGCCACAUAGCUCUUGAAGUGUGCCUGGAAGUGCUUGAUGCAGAACAAGAGCCACAUCCCCAAAUUCCUGUUCUAGGCCUUAGAGUACCUGGAAAGCUCACAGACAACAAUCAGACAUUCUGCAGCUCUGUUCAUUGAGCAGGCCUAGGAAAGACUAUCCACCAUUACUGCGAUUUGUUGUCUGAAACAGUGAAUGAAGAUGGCAUCUCCUGCCUGUAUGAAGCUUUUCAAGAAGUGCCUUUGAAAUCUGACAGGACCAGAAGGUACAUCCUCAAUAGACAUUACAAAUGGUUGCAGAAACUUGGAAAUCUCAUGUCAGGUUCUGCAUUCGACUAGGGAACCAGGACCAAUACAGAAAACCUCUUCAUCCUGCUAUGAACUGCUGCCUAGCCACUCGACAGGUGCACUUCUGAACUGUGAGUCUGCACUGACCAGGGACAACAACUAUGAGUGGGGUGUUAAAGGUGGGGCACACUACAGGAACUUUGGAGUUGGACUCAAGAACCUGAAGCAAAAGACACUGCCCAGCGUACACUGGGAAGGGCGUCUUGCUCAUGCUUUUAUGUCUAUGGAUACCGCUUAACUGUUUUCUCAGAUUACUGCUGGGUUACUUUUAUUAAAGAAACGCUACCUCGGACUCUGUGCUUGCGAGAGGGGAAGAAUUGCCUCUUAGAGGCACCCAGGCGGUACAGUGACAUUUCCCCAGGUUCCCGGGUGGGGGCUCGAGCCGGUUCUGGUUGCAUUGUUGAAAAGGAACCCCCUAGGUAUUGAACCUGCCCUUCUCGCUGCCCACUUCAACUGGCAGAAGGGUUACAGACUGAACAGAACAGAACAUGGGAGAGCAGCAACACCUGGCUGCUAACGGGGCAGUUGGACAGACCUUGACUGACCAGGUUAAACUCCCAACUGCUCAUUAAAUACUGAUAUAAAAUCCUCUGCAGACUGUGCCCCAUUUCCCCAAAUUAUCAAAUAAUGAACCCAACGCAGGUCUCUCAAGCACCAACUGUGAAUCACCUGCCCCUCCCCUACUGCUACCCCCCAGCUGAACAAGGGACCUUCUAACUCUAUCCCCGUUCCUGCCUCCUCUUAACAUGCCGUUGCCCAGCGCUCCCCACUGCCCAUGUCAAUGGCAAAAUCUGAGGACGUUUUAUGUUAAUAUUUAAUAAUUAGAUGGAGAAAUGUAAAAUCUAAGGCCCGGGCAGUUGUGUCCCUCCAAAACAGGGAGGAGUUGCUGUUGUUCUAAUGACUGGGGGGGACCCAAGGGGAUUUCACAACAAUCUGUCAUCAUUAGGAAGAAAAUGGAGCAAAGUCUGAAUAUUUGAUAACAAGAGAGAAGUGUGGCAAGAUCUCUUGGGGAAGGAGCAUCGAUAUUCAACAAUCGGACAGUAAAAGGCAAAA